UUGGAGGGCAAGUCUGGUGCCAGCAGCCGCGGUAAUUCCAGCUCCAAUAGCGUAUAUUAAAGUUGUUGCAGUUAAAAAGCUCGUAGUUGAAUUUCGGGGUUAGUAGGUUGGUCAUGCCUCUGGUAUGUACUGGUCUCACUGAUUCCUCCUUCCUGAUGAGCCGUAAUGCCAUUAAUUUGGUGUUGCGGGGAAUUUGGACUGUUACUUUGAAAAAAUUAGAGUGUUUAAAGCAAGCUAACGCUUGAAUACAUUAGCAUGGAAUAAUGAAAUAGGACGUUCGAUCCUAUUUUGUUGGUUUCUAGGGUUGACGUAAUGAUUAAUAGGGAUAGUUGGGGGCAUUAGUAUUCAAUUGUCAGAGGUGAAAUUCUUGGAUUUAUUGAAGACUAGCUACUGCGAAAGCAUUUGCCAAGGAUGUUUUCAUUAAUCAAGAACGAAAGUUAGGGGAUCGAAGACGAUCAGAUACCGUCGUAGUCUUAACCAUAAACUAUGCCGACUAGGGAUCGGAUGAUGUUAAUUUUUUAAUGACUCAUUCGGCGCCUUACGGGAA
rnacentral:rRNA from 1 species